UGAUCACAAGAGCGGCCUACUCGUCACUACUCCGUCGCCGAGGGUAAUGAGGAAGUUGGGGACAGAGGCAGCAGAGUCGAUCUGCCCCCAUGAGCUCUGCACCGAUGCGGUCUCGCCUUUGCGAACGCCGGUGCGCCGACGCAGUUCUGAACCCAUAGAUGCGGCAAAAGCAGAACUAGGUGGCUAGUUGACUGCUGCUUGCCGUGGCCGACUCCGUAGCAUAUUUGUACCUGAGUCGUUCCAUGGUGUGCGUGUGCCUCGUACUUCCAUUCAAUCCAUGUGUAUGUAUAUCCGCGUCACAUGAGUACCCUGCUAUUUGUUCAUGAGUAAAAUUCAUUGGUGGUCAUUGUAGUUGUUUCGCUGAUUCGCUUUAGUCCCUGUACUUAAGAACUCAGUCAAUACGGUCACUAUAUACUCAUCUUGAUGAUUAUACGGUCACCGUCAAAACGUACACCUUUGUAUUUUCUCUACGUUGACCGGUCAACUCCCCACCCCCACACAGGUCCCACCUGUCAGUGAAAGAAUAAAGAAAGAAAGAGAAGUAUAAAACAUUGCACGAGUGGGGAUUCAAACCAGACAGUUGCGCGUGAGGGAUCGCAUGCACUAGCCACCUGAGCGCGGAACGAGUACUGUCAUUGAGCAGAGCUUUGGUAUUUUAUACACAUGCAAUGCAACGCAUGGCACAGACACGGGUAUGCUUUUUUCAUUUUAGAACCGCUAGUGUACGCUCACUAUAAAGUACUCAUGAUUUGUUUUUUUUACAGGUCAUAUCAAAAUAUAUUUCAUAAUGAAUUUUUAACCACAUCUACAAAUACUUGUGUAUUUUUUUACCCUAACUUUUUUAUUUUUUUAUUUUUUUAAAUGUGGAGCCUGAGAGCCAAAAAGCCUCACUCGUUUAUUAGCAAUUUAGCAUACUAUAAACAUAAUCAUCAUCUUAAUAAUACAAGAACGAUAGAUAAUGAGAAAAAAAAACUAAAUAGAUGAGAGCAGAGAGUUCAGGAGGUUAAACAUUCCCGUAUUAUUCUCUUGAUUAAUACUGUUCAUUGCUAAAGUGCGAUGCCUGCCCCUCAAAGAAAAAGUGAGCUGCGUGCGUGCGUGUGUAAGUACUGUAUAAAAGAGGUACGCCUCAGCACGAUACACAAAGCCUUCUGUGCUCAGGUGGUUAGCGCGAGUGGAUCUGCAGGUUAAGUCUCAGGUUUGAAUCCCCUCUCGCGCAUGGUUUUUUCCUGUCUUUAUUAUUUUCUUCUAUUCAUUGGACCCGCGUGGAGGUGGGGAGUUGACAGGUCAACGUUUUGACAGUGACUAUAUAAUCACCAAGAUGAGUACAUAGUGACCGUAUUGACUAAGUUCUUAAGUAUAGGAACUAAAGCGAAUCAGCGAGACAAGUACAAUGACCACCAAUAAAUUUUACUCUUUGUUCAUCAAUAAAUAUGCUAUCUUUUACGGUGCAUGAAGAUUCCGGGUUGCAGUGUUCCCCAUUGUUUAACGCCGGGUUGCAGUGUUCUCUGUAUCUCUAUGUAUACUACUCCUUCCGUUCACAAAUAUAUGUUUUGAAUAUUUCAAAA
rnacentral:lncRNA from 1 species